rnacentral:rRNA from 1 species
GAGUUUGAUCCUGGCUCAUUGAGCGCUGGCGGCAGGCUUAACACAUGCAAGUCGAGCGGUAGCACAGGGGAGCUUGCUCCUGGGUGACGAGCGGCGGACGGGUGAGUAAUGUCUGGGAAACUGCCUGAUGGAGGGGGAUAACUACUGGAAACGGUAGCUAAUACCGCAUAACGUCGCAAGACCAAAGAGGGGGACCUUCGGGCCUCUUGCCAUCAGAUGUGCCCAGAUGGGAUUAGCUAGUAGGUGGGGUAAUGGCUCACCUAGGCGACGAUCCCUAGCUGGUCUGAGAGGAUGACCAGCCACACUGGAACUGAGACACGGUCCAGACUCCUACGGAGGCAGCAGUGGGGAAUAUUGCCAAUGGGCGCAAGCCUGAUGCAGCCAUGCCGCGGUGUGAAGAAGGCCUUCGGGUUGUAAAGCCCCUUUCAGCGAGGAGGAAAGUGGUGAGCUUAAUACGCUCAUCAAUUGACGUACUCGCAGAAGAAGCACCGGCUAACUCCGUGCCAGCAGCGGUAAUACGAGGGUGCAAGCGUUAUCGGAAUUACUGGGCGUAAAGCGCACGCAGGCGGUUUGUUAAGUCAGAUGUGAAAUCCCCGGGCUCAACCUGGGAACUGCAUUUGAAACUGGCAAGCUAGAGUCUCGUAGAGGGGGGUAGAAUUCCAGGUGUAGCGGUGAAAUGCGUAGAGAUCUGGAGGAAUACCGGUGGCGAAGGCGGCCCCCUGGACGAAGACUGACGCUCAGGUGCGAAAGCGGGGGAGCAAACAGGAUUAGAUACCCUGGUAGUCCACGCUGUAAACGAUGUCGAUUUGGAGGUUGUGCCCUUGAGGCGUGGCUUCCGGAGCUAACGCGUUAAAUCGACCGCCUGGGGAGUACGGCCGCAAACGAGCUCGGCAA